GUGGAUUAGAUACCCGAGUAGUCCACGCCGUAAACGAUGAGUACUAGGUGUUGCGGGUAUUGACCCCUGCAGUGCCGCAGCUAACGCAUUAAGUACUCCGCCUGGGAAGUACGGUCGCAAGACUAAAACUCAAAGGAAUUGACGGGGGCCCGCACAAGCGGUGGAGCAUGUGGUUUAAUUCGACGCAACGCGAAGAACCUUACCUGGGCUUGACAUCUGUGGAACCUGGUGGAAACAUCGGGGUGCCUUCGGGAGCCACAAGACAGGUGCUGCACGGUCGUCGUCAGCU
rnacentral:rRNA from 1 species